UCAAAAAGACACUUAAACUUUACUUCCGACCUAUUACCCCACGAUUCUUACAAUCUGUUGUAAAUACACCAUUUUGACUUAAAUUUUGCCUUCGCGUGUAGACACGCAUACCAGACGCGUGAAUGGUUAAAAUUUGACUUAAUUUACCAAUUAAAACCCGCCACGUAUAAAAUUAUUUGUCAAAAAAAAUUAAAAAUCCCUUCUUCUACACUUUAAAGCUGAUCCUCUUCUGCCAUUAAUAUAGUCGUUGGCUAUUUUUGAAGGAAAUUUUUGUGUCUCUUAAUCUUUUAUCAACAAAAUCAACCUUAAAAGGUAAGAUGUUUUCAUUUAUGUUGUAAUUUCUAAAGAAAUUAGUCAUAAAAGCUUUAAUUUCGUCUCAAUUUUUUAAAUUAUUUUUGAAAUCAUAUUAAAUUUUGUGACUAGGUUUUUGCCGAAAAUAGUUUUAUAAUGUCAAAUGCAAUCCUGAAUCGAAUUUUUAAUAACGAGGACGAUCCCAUGUUGUGUGUAGAAAUGUGAUGCAAACAUGGAAACUCACUGUCUAUGCAAACGUCAUGGUCGGAGGACAACCCAGCUAGAAGAUUUUGGUCUUGUCCACGCUUUUGUGAGAAAUCAUGCAACUUUUUUAGAUGGUGGGAUCCGAAAAAGACUGAUUUACGAUCCAAGACAGUUAUUCCGAGAUUGACAAAGAGAAUCAAA